UACGUAGGGGGCAAGCGUUGUCCGGAAUCAUUGGGCGUAAAGAGCGUGUAGGCGGCCCGAUAAGUCCGCCGUGAAAGUCCAGGGCUCAACCCUGGGAUGCCGGUGGAAACUGUCGGGCUAGAGUCCGGAAGAGGCGAGUGGAAUUCCUGGUGUAGCGGUGAAAUGCGCAGAUAUCAGGAAGAACACCAACGGCGAAGGCAGCUCGCUGGGACGGUACUGACGCUGGGACGCGAAAGCGUGGGGAGCGAACAGG
rnacentral:rRNA from 1 species